rnacentral:rRNA from 1 species
AGUGAACGCUGGCGGCGUGCUUAAGACAUGCAAGUCGAACGGCAGUCUUCGGACUGUAGUGGCGCACGGGUGAGUAACGCGUAACUGACCUACCCCAAAGUCGCGGAUAACGAUUCGAAAGAAUCGCUAAUACGUGAUGUGCUGUCAGAUUGUGUUCUGCCAGUCAAGAUUGAUUGCUUGGGGAUGGGGUUGCGUUCCAUCAGCUAGUUGGUGGGGUAAAGGCCCACCAAGGCGACGACGGAUGGCCGGCCUGAGAGGGUGGCCGGCCACAGGGGCACUGAGACACGGGUCCCACUCCUACGGGAGGCAGCAGUUAGGAAUCUUCCACAAUGGGCGAAAGCCUGAUGGAGCGACGCCGCGUGAGGGAUGAAGGUCUUCGGAUCGUAAACCUCUGAAUCAGGGACGAAAGACACUUCGGUGGGAUGACGGUACCUGAGUAAUAGCACCGGCUAACUCCGUGCCAGCCGCCGCGGUAAGAC